UCGUUCUGCUGCUGAAGCCUGUUCUGCAGCUGGACAAACGCACAGACAGAAGAUCCAGUCACAGUGUAUCACCAGAACUGGGUUCAAGCUACUGGUUCUGUGCCAGUUGUUGUUUGGACAGCAACUAACGUUAUCUUCACAACUGCAGCUCCUGAGAAUGACGCGAAGACAGUGAACUGCUCUGACACGUCCACUCAGAGCGAAGUUUGUCCAACUCUUUGGUCUUUUCUGACAGAGUCUGUGACAGAAAGACGUGUGUUCAAUAAACAAAUGUAAAAAA